GCUUGACGGUUGUUUGGUAUUGAAUUUGAGCCAUUCCUGCGCAGUCUAGGUGGGAGGCGAUGAGAUCAAGUUUUCGGGCUUGACGAGCCAACAGUGAGAGACCACCCUGGGACAGCUAAAAUUCUAAUAAGGUUCCUUGAAUCAGGACGUUAAACAGUGCCAGAUAGACCGUUUUUUUGGGGCAAAACCCUCCCAAAAGGUAACGGAGGGGUGCAAAGGUUUCUUCAAUCCGGUCGGAAAUCGGGUGUAGAGUGUAAAGGUAUAAGGAAGCUUGACUGCGAGACCAACAAGUCGAGCAGGGACGAAAGUCGGUCUUAGUGAUCCGACGAUCUCACGUGGACGAGUCGUCGCUCAACGGAUAAAAGUUACUCUAGGGAAAACAGGCUGAA
rnacentral:rRNA from 1 species